rnacentral:rRNA from 1 species
GCUUAACGCGAAGAACCUUACCCACCUUUGACAUGUACGGAAUCCUUUAGAGAUAGAGGAGUGCUCGAAAGAGAGCCGUAACACAGGUGCUGCAUGGCUGUCGUCAGCUCGUGUCGUGAGAUGUUGGGUUAAGUCCCGCAACGAGCGCAACCCUUGCCAUUAGUUGCUACGAAAGGGCACUCUAAUGGGACUGCCGGUGACAAACCGGAGGAAGGUGGGGAUGACGUCAAGUCCUCAUGGCCCUUAUAGGUGGGGCUACACACGUCAUACAAUGGCUGGUACAGAGGGUUGCCAACCCGCGAGGGGGAGCCAAUCCCACAAAGCCAGUCGUAGUCCGGAUCGCAGUCUGCAACUCGACUGCGUGAAGUCGGAAUCGCUAGUAAUCGCGGAUCAGAAUGUCGCGGUGAAUACGUUCCCGGGUCUUGUACACACCG